rnacentral:rRNA from 1 species
GACGAACGCUGGCGGCGUGCUUAACACAUGCAAGUCGAACGGAAAGGCCCUGCUUUUGUGGGGUGCUCGAGUGGCGAACGGGUGAGUAACACGUGAGUAACCUGCCCUUGACUUUGGGAUAACUUCAGGAAACUGGGGCUAAUACCGGAUAGGAGCUCCUGCUGCAUGGUGGGGGUUGGAAAGUUUCGGCGGUUGGGGAUGGACUCGCGGCUUAUCAGCUUGUUGGCGGGGUAGUGGCUUACCAAGGCUUUGACGGGUAGCCGGCCUGAGAGGGUGACCGGCCACAUUGGGGCUGAGAUACGGCCCAGACUCCUACGGGAGGCAGCAGUGGGGAAUAUUGCACAAUGGGCGGAAGCCUGAUGCAGCAACGCCGCGUGCGGGAUGACGGCCUUCGGGUUGUAAACCGCUUUCGCCUGUGACGAAGCGUGAGUGACGGUAAUGGGUAAAGAAGCACCGGCUAACUACGUG